rnacentral:rRNA from 1 species
CACGUAGGGCGCAAGCGUUGUCCGGAAUUAUUGGGCGUAAAGAGCUCGUAGGCGGUCUGUUGCGUCCGCUGUGAAAACUCGGGGCUUAACCCCGAGCCUGCAGUGGAUACGGGCAGACUAGAGGUAGGUAGGGGAGAAUGGAAUUCCCGGUGUAGCGGUGAAAUGCGCAGAUAUCGGGAGGAACACCGGUGGCGAAGGCAGUGGGCUGGGCCGGCACUGACGCUGAGGAGCGAAAGCGUGGGGAGCGAACAGG